GACCUCUCUGGUGGCCUAGUGGUUAGAGCAUCUGCCUCGAAUCUGGGAAAUCAUGGGUUUGAACCCCAGCCAAGUCA